AUGGACUUCUCCAUAGGAAAAGAGAAAAUGAAAGUAUGUAGGCUGGCAAUCUAUGAUAUGGAAGGAGACUUAAGCACAAGGGACGUGGGUUCAUGCCCCGGUCCGGGAGGAUCCCACGUGCCGCCGAGCGGCUGGGCCGCUGAGCCUGCGCGUCAAGAUACCGGGAAGACUCCCGUGGAGUCCGAGGUGGCGAUUCACUGGAUUAGAAUCACCCUCACCAGCCGCAACGUGAAGUCUUUGAAAAAGGUAUGUGCUGAUCUGAUCAAAGGCGCGAAGGAAAAGAAUCUCAAAGUGAAAGGACUGGUUCGGAUGCCUACCAAGACUCUGAGAAUAACUACAAGGAAAACUCCUUGUGGUGAAGGUUCUAAUACUUGGGAUCGUUUCCAGAUGAGGAUCCACAAGCGACUCACUGACCUGCACAGUCCUUCUGAGAUUGUCAAGCAGAUCACUUCCAUCAGUAUUGAGCCAGGAGUCGGGGCUGAAGUCACCAUUACAGAUGCUUAAAUCAACAUUUUUAAUAAAUUGAUAAUCAGUUGUUAAAUAUUGUUGACUUUUAUUCAUAAUA